AUACGGAGGAUGCGAGCGUUAUCCGGAUUUAUUGGGUUUAAAGGGAGCGUAGGUGGGAUAUUAAGUCAGCUGUGGAAGUUUGGGGCUCAACCUUAAAAUUGCAGUUGAUACUGGUUUCCUUGAGUACGGUACAGGUGGGCGGAAUUCGUGGUGUAGCGGUGAAAUGCUUAGAUAUCACGAAGAACUCCGAUCGCGAAGGCAGCUCACCGGGCCGGAACUGACACUGAUGCUCGAGAGUGCGGGUAUCAAACAGGAUUAGAUACCCUGGUAGUCCGCACAGUAAACGAUGAAUACUCGCUGUUUGCGAUACACGGUAAGCGGCCAAGCGAAAGCGUUAAGUAUUCCACCUGGGGAGUACGCCGGCAACGGUGAAACUCAAAUGAAUUGACGGGG
rnacentral:rRNA from 1 species